rnacentral:rRNA from 1 species
AUUGAACGCUGGCGGCAGGCCUAACACAUGCAAGUCGAGCGGCGCGGGGGAAGGGGAGGGGAUGCCUAGGAAUCUGCCUGGUAGUGGGGGAUACAGUCCGGAACCGGGCGAUGUUGCAGCAUACUUUCACAUGAGCCUAGGCCGGAUUAGAUAGUUGGUGGGGUAAAGGCCUACCAAGGCGACGAUCUGUAACUGGACUGAGAGGAUGAUCAGUCACACUGGAACUGAGACACGGUCCAGACUCCUACGGGAGGCAGCAGUGGGGAAUAUUGGACAAGGGGCGAAAGCCUGAUCCAGCCAUGCCGCGUGUGUGAAGAAGGUCUUCGGAUUGUAAAGCACUUUAAGUUGGGAGGCGUUACCAACAGAAUAAGCACCGGCUAACUUCGUGCCAGCAGCCGCGGUAAUAC